UACGUAGGGUGCGAGCGUUGUCCGGAAUUAUUGGGCGUAAAGGGCUCGUAGGCGGUUUGUCGCGUCGGGAGUGAAAACACCGGGCUUAACUCGGUGCUUGCUUUCGAUACGGGCAGACUAGAGGUAUGCAGGGGAGAACGGAAUUCCUGGUGUAGCGGUGAAAUGCGCAGAUAUCAGGAGGAACACCAAUAGCAAAGGCAGCUCGCUGGGACGGUACUGACGCUGAGGCGCGAAAGCGUGGGGAGCAAACAGG
rnacentral:rRNA from 1 species